UGAGGAAUAUUGGUCAAUGGGCGAGAGCCUGAACCAGCCAAGUCGCGUGAAGGAAGACAGUCCUAAGGAUUGUAAACUUCUUUUAUACGGGAAUAACGGGCGAUACGAGUAUUGCAUUGAAUGUACCGUAAGAAUAAGCAUCGGCUAACUCCGUGCCAGCAGCCGCGGUAAUACGGAGGAUGCGAGCGUUAUCCGGAUUUAUUGGGUUUAAAGGGUGCGUAGGUUGUUCGGUAAGUCAGCGGUGAAACCUGAGCGCUCAACGUUCAGCCUGCCGUUGAAACUGCCGGGCUUGAGUUCAGUGGCGGCAGGCGGAAUUCGUUGUGUAGCGGUGAAAUGCAUAGAUAUCACGAGGAACUCCGAUUGCGAAGGCAGCUUGCCAUACUGCGACUGACACUGAAGCACGAAGGCGUGGGUAUCAAACAGG
rnacentral:rRNA from 1 species